GUGGCUUAAUUCGACGCAACGCGAAGAACCUUACCAAGGCUUGACAUACACCGGAAACGGCCAGAGAUGGUCGCCCCCUUGUGGUCGGUGUACAGGUGGUGCAUGGCUGUCGUCAGCUCGUGUCGUGAGAUGUUGGGUUAAGUCCCGCAACGAGCGCAACCCUUGUUCUGUGUUGCCAGCAUGCCUUUCGGGGUGAUGGGGACUCACAGGAGACUGCCGGGGUCAACUCGGAGGAAGGUGGGGACGACGUCAAGUCAUCAUGCCCCUUAUGUCUUGGGCUGCACACGUGCUACAAUGGCCGGUACAAUGAGCUGCGAUGCCGUGAGGUGGAGCGAAUCUCAAAAAGCCGGUCUCAGUUCGGAUUGGGGUCUGCAACUCGACCCCAUGAAGUUGGAGUUGCUAGUAAUCGCAGAUCAGCAUUGCUGCGGUGAAUACGUUCCCGGGCCUUGUACACACCGCCCGUCACGUCACGAAAGUCGGUAACACCCGAAGCCG
rnacentral:rRNA from 1 species